rnacentral:rRNA from 1 species
GUGGGGAAUAUUGGACAAUGGGCGAAAGCCUGAUCCAGCCAUGCCGCGUGUGUGAAGAAGGUCUUCGGAUUGUAAAGCACUUUAAGUUGGGAGGAAGGGCAGUAAGUUAAUACCUUGCUGUUUUGACGUUACCGACAGAAUAAGCACCGGCUAACUUCGUGCCAGCAGCCGCGGUAAUACGAAGGGUGCAAGCGUUAAUCGGAAUUACUGGGCGUAAAGCGCGCGUAGGUGGUUUUGUAAGUUGGAGGUGAAAUCCCCGGGCUCAACCUGGGAACUGCCUCCAAAACUGCAUGACUAGAGUACGGUAGAGGGUAGUGGAAUUUCCUGUGUAGCGGUGAAAUGCGUAGAUAUAGGAAGGAACACCAGUGGCGAAGGCGACUACCUGGACUGAUACUGACACUGAGGUGCAAAAGCGUGGGGAGCAAACAGGAUUAGAUACCCUGGUAGUCC